rnacentral:rRNA from 1 species
UGAGUAACGCGUGGGUAACCUGCCUCACACAGGGGGAUAACAGUUGGAAACGGCUGCUAAUACCGCAUAAGCGCACAGUACCGCAUGGUACAGUGUGAAAAACUCCGGUGGUGUGAGAUGGACCCGCGUCUGAUUAGCUAGUUGGCAGGGCAACGGCCUACCAAGGCGACGAUCAGUAGCCGACCUGAGAGGGUGACCGGCCACAUUGGGACUGAGACACGGCCCAAACUCCUACGGGAGGCAGCAUG